GUGGGCAUCUUACCAGACAGUGCUGGAUUUCUUGGCUCAACUCUAACACUGUCUGGUAACGAUGUUCAA
rnacentral:pre_miRNA from 1 species